ACACACACACACACACACACACACACACACACACACACACACCUCAUCUCCUUUUAAAACACAACCAGGAAAUCACCACUUAUUCCAACAAACGUUUGCCUCAAGUCAGGAACUAGAACUUUUUUCAUUCUUCAAGAGAUAGCACAUAGAGACUUCUUUUAACCGGAGUGUUAAUCCAGCAGUGGGUGAGAUGGCACACGGAGCAUAGAGAAAGAAAAACCGGGGAAAGUGAUGGAGUGUACGAAUCUGAGAUGUGUAUUACAAAUGUCUCCUCUGGUUUUAAUGCACCGUUGCCCGUCGGUGAAGGAUGCAGGCUAAAGCUCAGCACACAUGAAGCCCAUUUACCAUCAUCCCGCAUCUGUUCUCACUAAUCCCCUCCAGACGUAACAAUAUGCUGUCCAAUAAGAUUAUGAUUGCUCAAUAAGCCUUAUCUAUGUAAUUCAGAAAACAUAUAGGGCUUUAAGCGAGCUGGCUAGGUUCGAACAGUUUGGAGCUAAUCUGGAGUCAGUCUGGAGUCAAUCUGUGCUGCCGGGUGGGAGGAGGGAAUUAUUUUAAUCUGGUCGAAAUAAUCCUGUGAUUCCCCACCAAUCUGUUUUGUUUUAUUAAAAGCCGAGUGCGUGAGUUGAUUUAACGUCAUACUAAUCUUCAGGUCGCUGACUCGCUGAGCUCCAGGACACCCUGGAAGUUCACAAUGUGUGAUGUGUAUCAUUUACACACACACCGUUAUUAAAUAAAUCUGCACUUUAAUUGAUUAGACAUGCAGAUUAUGAUGUUGUGGGAAUAUACAGAUUACUGUAUUGAGUGUGACUUGUUUAAUAAAGGUGUAAUCACUAUUUAAUUAACACCACUAUUUACAGCUUUAUCAAAUAUUGAGUUUUCAGGUUUUGCUUUAAUAUUUUAUUAGAUACUUGUUUAUAAAAGGAUUGAUUUAUUAAAAACAUUAUUUUAUAUGUUCAUGAAAUCACAGGUUUAUUAAAAUGUGAUGUAAAAUUAAACAUGAACAGCAACUUUCAAGACUCAUGAACUGUGUUUGGAACCUUUACAGGUUCUGGGGUUAGCUGCGGAGGUGAGGGGACAGUUCAGGUUCUACAAAGAAUUUAAUC